GGGCCGCUAGCUCAAUUGGCAGAGCAGCAGACUCUUAAUCUGCGGGUUGAUGGUUCGAUUCCAUCGCGGCUCACCA
rnacentral:tRNA from 2 species